rnacentral:rRNA from 1 species
GCAUCGAUGAAGAACGCAGCCAGUUGCGAUAAGUAGUGUGAAUUGCAGAAUUCAGUGAAUCAUCGAAUCUUUGAACGCAAAUUGCGCUCUCUGGAUAUCCAGGGAGCAUGCCUGUCUGAGCGUCGUUUAACAAUCUACACACAAUUUGUGUGAAAAGAUCAUUCAUGCUUCAAUGUGUGUCGAUCUAUGGAUUUGAACCGUGUGGUACUCCUUUGUGUACUGCUUGGAAGGCUCAACUUGCUUCUGUCCUUCUCUGCAGUGUCAUGAUGUGUGUAUAACGUGUUCUCUUUCGACCUAGUCGAAAAUUCUUACUUUUGACCGCAGAUCAGACAAGACUACCCGCUGAAUUUAAGCAUAUCAAUAAGCGGAGGA